rnacentral:rRNA from 1 species
UACGGAGGGUGCAAACGUUGCUCGGAAUCAUUGGGCGUAAAGCGAACGUAGGCGGCUAUGUAAGUCGGGUGUGAAAGCCCUCGGCUCAACCGAGGAAGUGCAUUCGAAACUGCAUGGCUUGAGUAUCGGAGAGGAUAGCGGAAUUCCCGGCGUAGAGGUGAAAUUCGUAGAUAUCGGGAGGAACACCAGUGGCGAAGGCGGCCACCUGGACGGACACUGACGCUGAGACGCGAAAGCGUGGGGAGCAAACAGG